GACGAACGCUGGCGGCGUGCUUAACACAUGCAAGUCGAACGGAAAGGCCCUGCUUUUGUGGGGUGCUCGAGUGGCGAACGGGUGGGUAACACGUGAGUAACCUGCCCUUGACUUUGGGGUAACUUCAGGAAACUGGGGCUAAUACCGGAUAGGAGCUCCUGCUGCAUGGUGGGGGUUGGAAAGUUUCGGCGGUUGGGGAUGGACUCGCGGCUUAUCAGCUUGUUGGUGGGGUAGUGGCUUACCAAGGCUUUGACGGGUAGCCGGCCUGAGAGGGUGACCGGCCACAUUGGGACUGAGAUACGGCCCAGACUCCUACGGGAGGCAGCAGUGGGGAAUAUUGCACAAUGGGCGGAAGCCUGAUGCAGCAACGCCGCGUGCGGGAUGACGGCCUUCGGGUUGUAAACCGCUUUCGCCUGUGACGAAGCGUGAGUGACGGUAAUGGGUAAAGAAGCACCGGCUAACUACGUG
rnacentral:rRNA from 1 species